rnacentral:lncRNA from 1 species
CCAGCUGUAGAGGAGUGGGAAGAAGUGAUGAUCUCCAGCUGGAAAUCUGCUCCACAGGAGCAGGAGUAAGAGGUGUAUUUGUCUUUUUGCAAAUGAUGAGAGAAAAAUCUACUCUUUGGUCUUGGCUGCCAGCAGAGAGCUCCAUGAUCAUGAUGGAAACUGUCUCAGACGGCUCUUACGAGCAUUGAAAUUAAUACCCUUCCUCAUUGGAAGUGGCACCUCCAACUACUCCCUGAAAGAGUUUUCCCAUGACAAGCUGGACUGGAAGUAGUGUAUAAGAAGCUCUAAUCUUCCAAAGCCCUGAGCUCUCCCCAGCCCUGCUCGCCAUCCAAAUCCAGAUAUCACCCAUCUGCAGUGAGAUGGGAUAGCAACUGCCAGGCAUCCCCACACAGGACUGGGCUCAGAUUCCCUUCUCAUCAGUGCUCCAGACGUGUCUCCUGUUACCCCUGCUCUGGCCAUGGAGCUCCCACCUCUCAUUGAAGUCCCUUCAUUAGGGAUUAAAGGAAAUUAAACCUUAUCUAUUUUGUCAUAAUUUCAAAAUCCCAUUGUUUAUAUUUUCCUGUUUGCUUUUCAAGUUGCUGAAAAUAUGAACUAUUCCAAAAAGCAAAGGAAAAAAAAUCCCCAGCUCAGUGUGUUAAGCAGCCACUCUCUCACCUGUACAGGUAGUUUGAAUUCCCCCCUCGAUUCAUCAUCCUGCCCAGCCUUUAACUAAGAGGUCAUUGGACAUGGACCAUGAUGGGAUCAGCUAAACCCAAGCUGGAGGUUCUCAGGGAGAAAGGAGUUGUCAGAGAGCUUAGGAACAGCAGGGCUUUUGGUGAAAUCCCUGCAAACACAGUCACUUGCUGGAGCACUCAGCACAGAGGAGAUUUCCCAUGGAGUGCUGUCGAGAGGAGAUGCUCUGUGUGAAGUGUGUGCUUCAGUUGAUACGCCAGGGCUAAAACAUAAUUAAUUAGCAAGUUUAUGGUCUUUUCCCAUCUGAAAUUUAAAAAAAUAAAAAUUAUGCAGAACAUCCA